AACGGCCGCGGUAUUCUGACCGUGCAAAGGUAGCAUAAUCAUUAGUCUUUUAAUAGAGGGCUGGAAUGAAGGGUUUGACGAAAUGCUUACUGUCUCAUUUAAUUUGAAAUUUGAAUUUGACUUUUUAGUUAAAAGGCUAAAUUGUUGUUGGAAGACGAGAAGACCCUAUAGAGCUUUAUAUUUUAAAAUUUAAAAGAUUUUUGUUUAAUUGUUAUUUUUUAAAUGGAAAAAUAUUUUGUUGGGGUGACAAAAAUAUAGAAUAAACUUUUUUAUUUAUUUAACAUUGAUAUAUGAGUAUUAGAUCCAUUAUUAUUGAUUGUUAGAGAAAGUUACCUUAGGGAUAACAGCGUAAUCUUCCUCCAGAGUUCAAAUUUACAGGAAGGCUUGCGACCUCGAUGUUGGAUUAAGAUAAUAAUUAGGUGCAGCCGCUUAAUUAAUAGGUCUGUUCGAC
rnacentral:rRNA from 1 species